AUUGAACGCUGGCGGCAGGCCUAACACAUGCAAGUCGAGCGGUUGAAGGGAGCUUGCUCCUCGCUUCAGCGGCGGACGGGUGUGAAAUGUCAAUGAAUCUCCCUGGUAGUGGGGGAUAACGUACGGAACUGGGCGCUAAUCCCGCAUACGUCCUGUGGGACAAAGUGGGGGAUCUUCGGACCUCACGCUAUCAGAUGAGCCUAGGUCGGAUUAGCUAGUUGGUGGGGUAAAGGCCUACCAAGGCGACGAUCCGUAACUGGUCUGAGAGGAUGAUCAGUCACACUGGGACUGAGACACGGUCCAGACUCCGACGGGAGGCAGCGGUGGGGAAUGUUGGACGAUGGGCGGAAGCCUGAUCCAGCCGUGCCGCGUGUGUGAAGAAGGGCUUCGGAUUGGAAGACACUUUAAGUUUGGAAGAAGGGCAGUAAGAUAAUACCUUGCUGUUUUGACGUUACCAGCAGAAGAAGCACCGGCUAACUUCGUG
rnacentral:rRNA from 1 species